GAUGAACGCUGGCGGCGUGCCUAAUACAUGCAAGUCGAGCGAACAGACGAGGAGCUUGCUCCUCUGACGUUAGCGGCGGACGGGUGAGUAACACGUGGAUAACCUACCUAUAAGACUGGGAUAACUUCGGGAAACCGGAGCUAAUACCGGAUAAUAUAUUGAACCGCAUGGUUCAAUAGUGAAAGACGGUUUUGCUGUCACUUAUAGAUGGAUCCGCGCCGCAUUAGCUAGUUGGUAAGGUAACGGCUUACCAAGGCAACGAUGCGUAGCCGACCUGAGAGGGUGAUCGGCCACACAGGAACUGAGACACGGUCCAGACUCCGACGGGAGGCAGCAGUAGGUAAUCUUCCGCAAUGGGCGAAAUCCUGACGGAGCAACGCCGCGUGAGUGAUGAAGGUCUUCGGAUCGUAAAACUCUGUUAUGAGGGAAGAACAAAUGUGUAAGUAACUAUGCACGUCUUGACGGUACCUAAUCAGAAAGCCACGGCUAACUACGUG
rnacentral:rRNA from 1 species